rnacentral:tRNA from 1 species
AAUAUUAAAGCAUAUUUGCGUAUAGUUUCGACCUAUAAA